UUAGUUGCUUCAAUUGCAAGGUCAACAUCCAUUGAUCUCAAUCUAUCUUCAAUAUGAAGUGGUUAUCUUUUAUCAUCAAAAUAACAGAGUAUUGAUAAACCAUAAAAAAUAUAUAUAAACAAAGAUUGAGGCUUUCAAAAUUACGUGGUUGACCAAAUUCUCGACUAAUACCACCUGCUCGAGACAGUCCCCCACCUUCAUAUAUAAAAUCAAGUCUUCCACUAUGUUGUCUAAAUCUUUGUUUAUCUUCCCAUUCUCUUAUGUAACAACAAAAUUUCUUCUCUAGUGUGAUUCAUAGUUGUGUUUUCAUCAAUAAAUCAUCACUCACGGAUCUAGGACCCCAGGUCACAUGUGUUCAUCGUCGGAUUUGGGUUACCCAAAAUCCGACGGAUUCGGGAUGAUAUUGUUAAUUUUAACACCGCUCAAUUUGGGUUUGAAUUCGAGUUUUGGAUUUCGAGUUCGGGGUUAA